rnacentral:rRNA from 1 species
CAGCCGCCGCGGUAAUACCGGCGGCCCGAGUGGCGGUCACUAUUAUUGGGCUUAAAGCGUCCGUAGCCGGGUUGGGAAGUCCUCCGGGAAAUCUGGCCGCUUAACGGUCAGAAUGCCGGAGGAUACUCCCAGCCUAGGGAGCGGGAGAGGCCGAGGGUAUUCCCGGAGUAGGGGUGAAAUCCUAUAAUCCCGGGAGGACCACCUGUGGCGAAGGCGCUCGGCUGGAACGCGUCCGACGGUGAGGGACGAAGGCCAGGGGAGCAAACCGGAUUAGAUACCCGGGUAGUCCUGGCUGUAAACGAUGCGGACGUUGUGUCGGACAAGCUAUGAGCUUGUCCGGUGCCGGAGGGAAACCGUUAAGUCCGCCGCCUGGGGAGUACGGCCGCAAGGCUGAAACUUAAAGGAAUUGGCGGG